CCAGGAGCCCAUUGACUUCACAAAAACUGGAACAAUACAGAGAAGGUUAGGAUGGCCCCUGCACUAGGAUGACAAGCGAAUUUGUGAAGUGGUCCAUAUUUCA
ensembl:snRNA U6 U6 spliceosomal RNA